UGGGGAAUUUUGGACAAUGGGCGAAAGCCUGAUUCAGCAAUGCCGCGUGUGUGAAGAAGGCCUUCGGGUUGUAAAGCCUUUUUGUCCGGAAAGAAAUGGCUCUGGUUAAUACCUGGGGUCGAUGACGGUACCGGAAGAAUAAGGACCGGCUAACUACGUGCCAGCAGCCGCGGUAAUACGUAGGGUGCAAGCGUUAAUCGGAAUUACUGGGCGUAAAGCGUGCGCAGGCGGUUGUGCAAGACCGAUGUGAAAUCCCCGAGCUUAACUUGGGAAUUGCAUUGGUGACUGCACGGCUAGAGUGUGUCAGAGGGGGGUAGGAUUCCACGUGUAGCAGUGAAAUGCGUAGAGAUGUGGGGGAAUACCGAUGGCGGAGGCAGCCCCCUGGGAUAACACUGACGCUCAUGCACGAAAGCGUGGGGAGCAAACAGG
rnacentral:rRNA from 1 species